rnacentral:rRNA from 1 species
UACGUAGGGUGCGAGCGUUAAUCGGAAUUACUGGGCGUAAAGCGUGCGCAGGCGGUUGUGUAAGACAGAUGUGAAAUCCCCGGGCUUAACCUGGGAACUGCGUUUGUGACUGCACGGCUAGAGUACGGCAGAGGGGGGUGGAAUUCCUGGUGUAGCAGUGAAAUGCGUAGAGAUCAGGAGGAACAUCGAUGGCGAAGGCAGCCCCCUGGGCCUGUACUGACGCUCAUGCACGAAAGCGUGGGGAGCAAACAGG